CUUUGUAUGCUUCUCUCUCUGAGGGUAGCCCUACUUCGCCUCGAUUU
rnacentral:rRNA from 1 species